CCGGAUCGCUAUAGGGAUGACGUCACCAUUUCAUUGAUACUGUUAUCAGCAAUAAUGACUACCUCGACUCCAAUUGAGCUUUAUAAGGAGUUUUUUUAUUUUAUUUUUUUUAUUUCAGCAAUGAAGCAGUGAGGAGGCGGCAGCAAGGGUUUCGAAGGAUAAACGAAUAAAAGUGUUCUCUUCCACCCAGACCUGGAUGGAAAAGAUCAAGCUAUUUUUUUUAUUCCCCACGAUAUUCACAUUGUCAUGGCUUCUGGAAGCUGGAGAGGAUACCCAUUUUUGAAUGCUACAAACCUGUACUAAAUCUUUGAACCACAGGAGGCCGUGAGGCAAAGCUACGCAACCUACCAACGCAAGCUUCCUCUCUCCUUUGGUCUCCCGGACGAAGACACGCCCGGACCCCCAAAACCAUCCAACCCACCACCCCCAUCCCCC